rnacentral:tRNA from 11 species
CGGGAUGUAGCGCAGCCUGGUAGCGCACCUGCUUCGGGAGCAGGGGGCCGCUGGUUCGAAUCCAGUCAUCCCGACCA